rnacentral:rRNA from 1 species
CCUACGGGUGGCAGCAGUGAGGAAUAUUGGUCAAUGGACGAGAGUCUGAACCAGCCAAGUAGCGUGAAGGAUGACUGCCCUAUGGGUUGUAAACUUCUUUUAUAUGGGAAUAAAAUGUUCCACGUGUGGGUUUUUGUAUGUAUCAUAUGAAUAAGGAUCGGCUAACUCCGUGCCAGCAGCCGCGGUAAUACGGAGGAUCCGAGCGUUAUCCGGAUUUAUUGGGUUUAAAGGGUGCGUAGGUGGAUUGUUAAGUCAGUUGUGAAAGUUUGGGGCUCAACCGUAAAAUUGCAGUUGAAACUGGCAGUCUAGAGAACAGUAGCGGUAGGCGGAAUGCAUGGUGUAGCGGUGAAAUGCUUAGAUAUCACGAAGAACACCGAUUGCGAAGGCAGUUCACUGGACUGCAACUGACACUGAGGCACGAAAGUGUGGGUAGCAAACAGGAUUAGAUACCCGAGUAGUC